rnacentral:rRNA from 1 species
UACGGGGGGAGCAAGCGUUGUUCGGAUUCAUUGGGCGUAAAGGGCGCGUAGGCGGCUUGGCAAGUCCGACAUGAAAUGUACCGGUUCAACCGGGGCACUGUGUCGGAAACUGCCUGGCUUGAGGUCGAGGGAGGAGAGUGGAGUUCCUGGUGUAGCGGUGAAAUGCGUAGAUAUCAGGAGGAACACCGGUGGCGAAGGCGGAUCUCUGGGCCUUACCUGACGCUGAGGCGCGAAAGCUAGGGGAGCGAACAGG